AUUGAACGCUGGCGGCAGGCUUAACACAUGCAAGUCGAGCGGGGGAAGGUAGCUUGCUACCGGACCUAGCGGCGGACGGGUGAGUAAUGCUUAGGAAUCUGCCUAUUAGUGGGGGACAACAUCUCGAAAGGGAUGCUAAUACCGCAUACGUCCUACGGGAGAAAGCAGGGGAUCUUCGGACCUUGCGCUAAUAGAUGAGCCUAAGUCGGAUUAGCUAGUUGGUGGGGUAAAGGCUUACCAAGGCGACGAUCUGUAGCGGGUCUGAGAGGAUGAUCCGCCACACUGGGACUGAGACACGGCCCAGACUCCUACGGGAGGCAGCAGUGGGGAAUAUUGGACAAUGGGGGGAACCCUGAUCCAGCCAUGCCGCAUGUGUGAAGAAGGCCUUAUGGUUGUAAAGCACUUUAAGCGAGGAGGAGGCUACUCUAGUUAAUACCUAGGGAUAGUGGACGUUACUCGCAGAAUAAGCACCGGCUAACUCUGUGCCAGCAGCCGCAGUAA
rnacentral:rRNA from 1 species